CAACUCAAGAGGAAGACAUUAUCUCUAGGAUGAGAUUUGGGCAUACUGGUUUAGGCAGUACUUUACUUAUUACUUAUUACAGUACUGCUGAGUACUGUAGAGCAUGUUAUUGAAUACUGCUCCAAAUCUGACCAGGAGAGACAGCAACUGAUUCAGGAGCUGGAGUCAGAAAGUGUGCCUUUAAACAUAAAGACUAUCCUCCAGAAAAAUUCAGGCGAGGUUUGCUUCAGGUUUUUGUUUUAUUACUUGAGUAGAACUGGUCUGAUCAGAAGAAUUUAGAUUUUUUUUUUCUCGUGAAUAUUAAUUUAUCCAGACCCACACUCCAUUUCGGUAGGUGGCGGUAAUGCUUCCAUGCGUUGUUUGCCAACCGCCAUAAAACUAGAAAAAGAAAAAGAAGAAGAAGAAGAAGAAGAAGAAGACGAAGAAGAAAACAUCUGCUUCCGGAAGCUAAAUAAUGGAAGCUAACUACUGAACUACCGCUGGCUGGGACUUCAACUGUUGUCACCUGUGCCACAGCACCUAACUAAAACAAGUCCAGGUCAGAAAACUCUUAAAUCGUUACGGACCCGUCCUUCUCUGUCCACCCUGGCGUUUCCCUGUGUCGAUGGCAUCUAUCUCCCAAAACAAGAAAAUCAAUUCCUCCAUUAUGUCAAGGAAGAGCUGGAAACAUACCAAGAGAAGAGCAACCGCAAGAGACAUGUUAGGAUGUUACAUACCUUGACAUGUUUCGGCGUCACACCCACCACCAAGUG